rnacentral:rRNA from 1 species
GACGAACGCUGGCGGCGUGCUUAACACAUGCAAGUCGAACGGAAAGGCCCCUUUUGGGGUACUCGAGUGGCGAACGGGUGAGUAACACGUGAGUAACCUUCCCUUGACUUCGGGGUAACUUCAGGAAACUGGGGCUAAUACCGGAUAGGAAUCCUUGCUGCAUGGUGGGGGUUGGAAAGCUUCGGCGGUUUUGGAUGGACUCGCGGCUUAUCAGCUUGUUGGUGGGGUAGUGGCUUACCAAGGCUUUGACGGGUAACCGGCCUGAGAGGGCGAGCGGCCAUCUUGGGACUGAGAGACGGCCCAGACUCCUACGGGAGGCAGAAGUGGGGAAUAUUGCACAAUGGGCGGAAGCCUGAUGAAGCAACGCCGCGGGCGGGAUGACGGCCUUCGGGUUGUAAACCGCUUUCAGCAGGGGCGAAGCUUGUGGUGACGUUACCUGCAGAAGAAGCACCGGCUAACUACGUG